CAGUAGAGACUCUUCCAAGGAGAAUGUGAUCAGGGACAAACAACAGCUCCCCCAGCAUCCAGAUCACUACGCUUUUUUCCCAGAAUAGUUACUCCUCUUCUAAUCACUUAUUUAAUAACACGACUCUUCUUUUCGUGCAUUUUCCCUGCCAGAUUGUGAGCUCCUUGAGAACAAACUGCCUAACUCGUUCACUAUUCUCCCUGCACCUCGAGCAGUGAUGAGCCGAUGGUAGACAUUAUUGGAUGGAUGGAUGGAUGGCUAGAAGGAGGAUGCCGUCCGACAGGGUGAAUGGUUGGCCUGGGAGUGACACACUAAGAACCUGCAGAGCCCACCUGGACUCGCCGUGAGCUGCCAAGGCACUAGCCCUGCCGGUUCUCACUGUUCUCCAUGUGUGGUCACCAGUCUGAAGAGUCAGUACGUGAUGGGAAGGCCCAGUCUGGAGCCUGAAGUGAACACCAUUAGUGUUUCCCAAACCUUUCCCAGAAAUCACCCAACACCAAUGGGAAUACACUUGUACCCCUGAGACCUGGGGCCGUCAGGUCUCAUUCUAACGUAGCAAUUUUAUGAACGUUGGAUGGAUCAUCUACUCCUAAGAUAUCCAUCUUUGUCUUCACAUGAAGUUAUCUUCCCAGACCUCCAGGCUGUGCGGCGUUAACCAGCCUGUGGCCUGCCGUGCCCCUGCACACCUCUGUGUGACCAGGAGGCCUGGGCCCUGCUCGAGAAGCACGGUGAAGAUGCUGUUCAUGGCAUGUUAUUGCUAACGUGAAAAUACUAUAGUUGGGAAAGGUAACAUUAUCCCCAUUAACAUGGAUUCUCGUAUCUGAUUCCCUUUUUUUCGCCAGCGAACAACAGCACUUUGAGAAUGGAACAGAAGACAAGGGGGGCUGAUGAUGGAAAGAGGAAACCGUCCAGAGUCCACAGGCAGCACAGGUCCAGUCAGGUCAGCCUGCUUGUCCCAGAUGGCAGCAAACAGAAGACAGGAGGGAGGUGGUAGACAAGGAGCCUGAAACCAGAGCUGGAAUGAGAGGACUUUCGCCACCACUCUUCAAGGCAAUCGGAUGAUGGUUGAUAUGACUGUUGAUAUGUAUUCCUCCCGAGGGACAAGCCCUGGAAGAUACCGGGAGGGAGGCGGAGCCACUAGAGAUCGCUGGGGAACCCAACCACCCUACACAGGGAGGUCUGUCAACUCCCAGAGAGCAGCGAGGAAAUGGGGAAAUGGCAGUGUAGCAAAGCUGUGCUUAGAACAGCAGGCCGAGAACAAAAGCACCGUGCAUGCAGCCGAAGGGGACCUGGGAAGAUACAGAGAUAAAACAAAAAGCUGUGUGCGGCUGCGAUGCUGUCUCAGAACCAAAUGCCAAAUGGAGAGCAUCGUUCCAACUGUGAAGAUUUUGCAAUCUACAAUGUCUGAGAGAAAAAGGCACCCUUACUCCACCUUGACACUCAGAAGCUGUGUUAUUGCGACGGAUUGGAUUAUGCUGUUUGUUCAUGACCAAUGUAGGUUUUCAGAACCAGUGUGGUCAGGGGCGGGUGGAAUCCCAGAGGUGGACCUGAGGCCCUUCACUUCAACAGUCACCGUUCGCUUUCCUUCCCCUCCCCGCCCAUCCUCCUUACCUCUGCUCCCUACUCCCACUAGAACCAUAGCAUUUCUAUUUAGGUAUUCACUCGUUCUCUUCGUCUCCAUCUCCCCACAAAGGGCCGCUGUUUACUUACUGGUGCCAGCCCUUAGAUUUUUUACCUUCCAGGGCGAAUCUGUGGCUGAUUCUGUCUGCGUCUCCUGGUGGCCUCUAUAACCCUGCUGA